UAACGACUCUCGGCAACGGAUAUCUCGGCUCUCGCAUCGAUGAAAAACGUAGCGAAAUGCGAUACUUGGUGUGAAUUGCAGAAUCCCGUGAACCAUCGAGUCUUUGAACCCAAGUUGCGCCCGAAGCCUUCCGGCCGAGGGCACGUCUGCCUGGGCGUCACG
rnacentral:rRNA from 1 species